UCUCACCUGCACCAGGAAGGCAGUGAGGAAACGAAGCACCAGGUAGUUCUCCUCAGGCAGCGUCUGGAAGACCUGCAGUGUCGCCUCCACUCUCUGGCUCUCAUCAAUGUUGAGGAAGCCCACAACACCCAGAGUGUGGGGAUGCAGGAGGUGGAAAAUAGGAGAGCAGCUGCAGCAGGCAGGAGGGAGAAGAGCCAACUCUGAAAGUGGUUGCCCAGGUCGGGGGUCUGACCUUGAGGAUGUGACUGCGUGCAGCCUGGAGGAGGCAUCUUUUGCCCUCAGCCCUAACAAGAAGCCAACCCCUCUCCCUUCACAAUCUCACCGUACAGUGUGAGGGAGGUGAGUUUCAAUUCAACCCACUCGUCCAACCCCAGAGAAGAGGCCAUGGGAAGUCCACUGCAUUCCUGGAGCCCCAAAAAUGACAUAUAUGGUCAGAGAAUCUCAGGGCAGAUAAGGAGUACAGACAAGACCCAGGCAUGGGUAGGGAGAAGAGGGGAGAACUGUGGGCCAAGAUCCAGACCCUGAACACCUCUAAGCGAUGUGACAACCUCCUGCACACGUCACAGCCUGCUAAAGACUGGAUGGCAAACCAGCGGCAGCAGGGCAGCAGCUCCCUAUUUACAUAGCAACAACCUAGCAACAACUACCCUGUUACCAAGGCAACCACACUGA